rnacentral:rRNA from 1 species
AUACGUAGGUGGCAAGCGUUGUCCGGAAUUAUUGGGCGUAAAGCGCAUGUAGGCGGUAAUUUAAGUCUGUCGUGAAACUGCGGGGCUCAGCCCCGUAUGGCGAUGGAAACUGGGUUACUUGAGUGCAGGAGAGGAAAGGGGAACUCCCAGUGUAGCGGUGAAAUGCGUAGAUAUUGGGAAGAACACCGGUGGCGAAGGCGCCUUUCUGGACUGUGUCUGACGCUGAGAUGCGAAAGCCAGGGUAGCGAACGGGAUUAGAUACCCCGGUAGUCCUGGCCGUAAACGAUGGGUACUAGGUGUGGGAGGUAUCGACCCCUUCCGUGCCGGAGUUAACGCAAUAAGUACCCCGCCUGGGGAGUGCGGCCGCAAGGCUUAAACUCAAAGGAAUUGACGGGG